GGUGGAUUGGUGAAGUGGCUAUCACAUGAGACUGUCGAUCUUAAGUCAGGGGUUCAAUUCCCCUAUCCACCG
rnacentral:tRNA from 1 species